rnacentral:rRNA from 1 species
ACUAAGCGUACACGGUGGAUGCCCUGGCAGUCAGAGGCGAUGAAGGACGUGCUAAUCUGCGAUAAGCGUCGGUAAGGUGAUAUGAACCGUUAUAACCGGCGAUUUCCGAAUGGGGAAACCCAGUGUGWUUCGWCACACUAUCAUUAACUGAAUCCAUAGGUUAAUGAGGCGAACCGGGGGAACUGAAACAUCUAAGUACCCCGAGGAAAAGAAAUCAACCGAGAUUCCCCCAGUAGCGGCGAGCGAACGGGGAGSAGCCCAGAGCCUGAAUCAGUGUGUGUGUUAGUGGAAGCGUCUGGAAAGGCGCGCGAUACAGGGUGACAGCCCCGUACACAAAAAUGCACAURYUGUGAGCUCGAUGAGUAGGGCGGGACACGUGGUAUCCUGUCUGAAUAUGGGGGGACCAUCCUCCAAGGCUAAAUACUCCUGACUGACCGAUAGUGAACCAGUACCGUGAGGGAAAGGCGAAAAGAACCCCGGCGAGGGGAGUGAAAAAGAACCUGAAACCGUGUACGUACAAGCAGUGGGAGCACGCUUAGGCGUGUGACUGCGUACCUUUUGUAUAAUGGGUCAGCGACUUAUAUUCUGUAGCAAGGUUAACCGAAUAGGGGAGCCGAAGGGAAACCGAGUCUUAACUGGGCGUUAAGUUGCAGGGUAUAGACCCGAAACCCGGUGAUCUAGCCAUGGGCAGGUUGAAGGUUGGGUAACACUAACUGGAGGACCGAACCGACUAAUGUUGAAAAAUUAGCGGAUGACUUGUGGCUGGGGGUGAAAGGCCAAUCAAACCGGGAGAUAGCUGGUUCUCCCCGAAAGCUAUUUAGGUAGCGCCUCGUGAAUUCAUCUCCGGGGGUAGAGCACUGUUUCGGCAAGGGGGUCAUCCCGACUUACCAACCCGAUGCAAACUGCGAAUACCGGAGAAUGUUAUCACGGGAGACACACGGCGGGUGCUAACGUCCGUCGUGAAGAGGGAAACAACCCAGACCGCCAGCUAAGGUCCCAAAGUCAUGGUUAAGUGGGAAACGAUGUGGGAAGGCCCAGACAGCCAGGAUGUUGGCUUAGAAGCAGCCAUCAUUUAAAGAAAGCGUAAUAGCUCACUGGUCGAGUCGGCCUGCGCGGAAGAUGUAACGGGGCUAAACCAUGCACCGAAGCUGCGGCAGCGACGCUGAUGCGUUGUUGGGUAGGGGAGCGUUCUGUAAGCCUGCGAAGGUGUGCUGUGAGGCAUGCUGGAGGUAUCAGAAGUGCGAAUGCUGACAUAAGUAACGAUAAAGCGGGUGAAAAGCCCGCUCGCCGGAAGACCAAGGGUUCCUGUCCAACGUUAAUCGGGGCAGGGUGAGUCGACCCCUAAGGCGAGGCCGAAAGGCGUAGUCGAUGGGAAACAGGUUAAUAUUCCUGUACUUGGUGUUACUGCGAAGGGGGGACGGAGAAGGCUAUGUUGGCCGGGCGACGGUUGUCCCGGUUUAAGCGUGUAGGCUGGUUUUCCAGGCAAAUCCGGAAAAUCAAGGCUGAGGCGUGAUGACGAGGCACUACGGUGCUGAAGCAACAAAUGCCCUGCUUCCAGGAAAAGCCUCUAAGCAUCAGGUAACAUCAAAUCGUACCCCAAACCGACACAGGUGGUCAGGUAGAGAAUACCAAGGCGCUUGAGAGAACUCGGGUGAAGGAACUAGGCAAAAUGGUGCCGUAACUUCGGGAGAAGGCACGCUGAUAUGUAGGUGAAGUCCCUUGCGGAUGGAGCUGAAAUCAGUCGAAGAUACCAGCUGGCUGCAACUGUUUAUUAAAAACACAGCACUGUGCAAACACGAAAGUGGACGUAUACGGUGUGACGCCUGCCCGGUGCCGGAAGGUUAAUUGAUGGGGUYAGCGCAAGCGAAGCUCUUGAUCGAAGCCCCGGUAAACGGCGGCCGUAACUAUAACGGUCCUAAGGUAGCGAAAUUCCUUGUCGGGUAAGUUCCGACCUGCACGAAUGGCGUAAUGAUGGCCAGGCUGUCUCCACCCGAGACUCAGUGAAAUUGAACUCGCUGUGAAGAUGCAGUGUACCCGCGGCAAGACGGAAAGACCCCGUGAACCUUUACUAUAGCUUGACACUGAACAUUGAGCCUUGAUGUGUAGGAUAGGUGGGAGGCUUWGAAGUGUGGACGCCAGUCUGCAUGGAGCCGACCUUGAAAUACCACCCUUUAAUGUUUGAUGUUCUAACGUUGACCCGUAAUCCGGGUUGCGGACAGUGUCUGGUGGGUAGUUUGACUGGGGCGGUCUCCUCCUAAAGAGUAACGGAGGAGCACGAAGGUUGGCUAAUCCUGGUCGGACAUCAGGAGGUUAGUGCAAUGGCAUAAGCCAGCUUGACUGCGAGCGUGACGGCGCGAGCAGGUGCGAAAGCAGGUCAUAGUGAUCCGGUGGUUCUGAAUGGAAGGGCCAUCGCUCAACGGAUAAAAGGUACUCCGGGGAUAACAGGCUGAUACCGCCCAAGAGUUCAUAUCGACGGCGGUGUUUGGCACCUCGAUGUCGGCUCAUCACAUCCUGGGGCUGAAGUAGGUCCCAAGGGUAUGGCUGUUCGCCAUUUAAAGUGGUACGCGAGCUGGGUUUAGAACGUCGUGAGACAGUUCGGUCCCUAUCUGCCGUGGGCGCUGGAGAACUGAGGGGGGCUGCUCCUAGUACGAGAGGACCGGAGUGGACGCAUCACUGGUGUUCGGGUUGUCAUGCCAAUGGCACUGCCCGGUAGCUAAAUGCGGAAGAGAUAAGUGCUGAAAGCAUCUAAGCACGAAACUUGCCCCGAGAUGAGUUCUCCCUGACCCUUUAAGGGUCCUGAAGGAACGUUGAAGACGACGACGUUGAUAGGCCGGGUGUGUAAGCGCAGCGAUGCGUUGAGCUAACCGGUACUAAUGAACCGUGAGGCUUAACC